rnacentral:rRNA from 1 species
UACGUAGGGGGCAAGCGUUGUCCGGAAUUAUUGGGCGUAAAGAGCGCGUAGGCGGUCUGUCACGUCGGCUGUGAAAUCCCGAGGCUCAACCUCGGGUCUGCAGUCGAUACGGGCAAACUAGAGUAUUGCAGGGGAGACUGGAAUUCCUGGUGUAGCGGUGAAAUGCGCAGAUAUCAGGAGGAACACCGGUGGCGAAGGCGGCUCUCUGGACCGCCACUGACGCUGAGACACGAAAGCGUGGGUAGCAAACAGG